GCCCCGGUGGCUCAAGUGGACAGAGCAAGUGCCUUCUAAGCACAAGGUUAGAGGUUCGAGUCCUCUCCGGGGUA
rnacentral:tRNA from 1 species